CCUACGGGAGGCAGCAGUGGGGAAUAUUGGGCAAUGGAGGAAACUCUGACCCAGCAACGCCGCGUGAAUGAUGAAGGUCUUCGGAUUGUAAAGUUCUUUUCUAAGGGAAGAAGAAAGUGACGGUACCUUAGGAAUAAGUCUCGGCUAACUACGUGCCAGCAGCCGCGGUAAUACGUAGGAGGCAAGCGUUAUCCGGAAUGACUGGGCGUAAAGGGCGCGUAGGUGGUUUGACAAGUUAGUAUCGUAACUCCGAGGCUUAACCUCGGCACUACUACCAAAACUGUUGGACUCGAGUGCAGGAGGGGCAAGUGGAAUUCCUGGUGUAGCGGUGGAAGGCGUAGAUAUUAGGAGGAACACCAGUGGCGAAGGCGAUUUGCUGGACUGUAACUGACACUGAGGCACGAAAGCGUGGGGAGCAAACAGGAUUAGAUACCCCAGUAGUC
rnacentral:rRNA from 1 species